rnacentral:rRNA from 1 species
UGGGGAAUAUUGCACAAUGGGCGCAAGCCUGAUGCAGCCAUGCCGCGUGUGUGAAGAAGGCCUUCGGGUUGUAAAGCACUUUCAGCGAGGAGGAAGGUGGUGAGCUUAAUACGCUCAUCAAUUGACGUUACUCGCAGAAGAAGCACCGGCUAACUCCGUGCCAGCAGCCGCGGUAAUACGGAGGGUGCAAGCGUUAAUCGGAAUUACUGGGCGUAAAGCGCACGCAGGCGGUUUGUUAAGUCAGAUGUGAAAUCCCCGGGCUCAACCUGGGAACUGCAUUUGAAACUGGCAAGCUAGAGUCUCGUAGAGGGGGUAGAAUUCCAGGUGUAGCGGUGAAAUGCGUAGAGAUCUGGAGGAAUACCGGUGGCGAAGGCGGCCCCCUGGACGAAGACUGACGCUCAGGUGCGAAAAGCGUGGGGAGCAAAACAGGAUUAGAUACCCUGGUAGUCCACGCUGUAAAACGAUGUCGAUUUUGGAGGUUGUGCCCUUGAGGCGUGGCUUCCGGAGCUAACGCGUUAAAUCGACCGCCUGGGGAGUACGGCCGCAAGGUUAAAAACUUAAAGGAAUUGACGGGGUCAUAGCUG